AGUCUGGUGCCAGCAGCCGCGGUAAUUCCAGCUCCAAUAGCGUAUAUUAAAGUUGUUGCAGUUAAAAAGCUCGUAGUUGAAUUUCGGAACUCAUCCGUCGGUCGGGCUUAACUGUCCGCACUGGUGUGGUGGGUUCCUACCUUCUGAAUAACCGGCAUGCCAUUAAUUUGGUGCGCCGGGGAAGCAGGACUGUUACCUUGAAAAAAUUAGAGUGCUUAAAGCAGGCUAUCGCCUGAAUACAUUAGCAUGGAAUAAUGAAAUAGGACGGCAUGGUUCUAUUUUGUUGGUUUCUAGGAUCACCGUAAUGAUUAAUAGGGAUAGUUGGGGGCAUUAGUAUUCAAUUGUCAGAGGUGAAAUUCUUGGAUUUAUUGAAGACUAACUUCUGCGAAAGCAUUUGCCAAGGAUGUUUUCAUUAAUCAAGAACGAAAGUUAGGGGAUCGAAGACGAUCAGAUACCGUCGUAGUCUUAACCAUAAACUAUGCCGACUAGGGAUCGGACGAUGUAAUUUUA
rnacentral:rRNA from 1 species